CUUGCGUCUGCCCAAGGGUGACUGCGCUGGCCGCCACUUCUCUAUUUUUCUUGCCAGCCUUGUUUACCGUGGUCGUGUUUUCGCCUUAGAGCUGCACACUUUUUUCGGGACUGGCCAGAGAAGCUGUCACAGCUGUGCGAAGCCGAAUGCGUCUAGAGAGGCGCGCGUGAUAGAUGCCUCUGUCGGCUACUGUGCCAGGGACCAGCAACGAUGUGCGGCGAGCAUUCUCUACAGCCCCGUAAAGGUGUAUGUCGCGUGGGAAGCUGAAUGAGCACACACAGCGACAGUGCAACAAGUGCCCCACCUCGCUUGUGGACGAGGCGCUUAAUGUGACGCCGCGCUUGUGCAUCGGUGCUGCGCUCGGCCUUGAGCCCAGUGGGCGGUUCCCUCUGAUGAUGCUGCGGCGCCGCGAAGGCGCACUUUGGCGCAGAAUUGACGGUGGCCGCCAUCCGUCCUUCGCGGUGUCGCACGCUCCUCUCGGUCUGCGGGCGGCGUGUGCAUCAACACGUCAUGGGCGCAUGUCACGCGGCCGCCCGAAGCGAGUGCUCUGCAGACACCUAACGGAGGCAGUCGCCCCUGUCUCACGGCGCACUGGACUGGGAGCCGGCGAUCAUCGCCGGCUGCAAGUACCCGUCGUUCCAGAACCAGAUCCACCGUCUAUACGCGUCUCCCUGUGCUCGCUCCGCAUCAACGCAGCCUGUUUUGGGGCGUUGCGUCCGUCAAGCACAGGCGAUUUUUUUCUGCGGGCUGUGUUUCGGAGUGUCUUGAGCAUUUCGUGGCGAUGAGGCAGCAUCGCAAGCACGCGGAUCUCCGGCUCCCUGCGGAUGAGCUUGUGGUGCUGCUGGAGAGCAAGAGCGGCGUUGCCUACGAGCCCCCCCCCCACUCACCCUCAUGCGGCGCUUCUCAGCAGCGCCGAGGCGAUUCGCGAGGCGUACGCUGAUUCGCGAGACGCAAACUUCAGUUGCCGGGUACGCAUGUGCCAAAGGCGGCAGUGGGGCUAAAAGGCGUGCCGGUUCUCAUCCGUUCGCAGACGAAGGGACUAGCGCGCGACCGCCUCGGAGGGAGCCGCAGCGCAGGAGGCAACAGUGUUGAAGCAAGAGUAGGCGGUGGGGAACUACGGCUUUGAAGUCAACGUAGCGGUUCGUUCAUGGGGCUACUAGUCUCUAAUCGGAAUGCUUGAGGAGCUGCACAGGCGGUGCAUCGCAGACUGAGUGGUAGAUUGUGUUUGCGUUUAGCUGGCUGCGCGCUCAGGGGGAGAGAGACCUUCCAUGGAUGCUGUAGAGAGGCACACAAAGGUGCCGCUCCUCUCUCCCGCCCCACAUGCAUGCGGCGUGUGACACGACGUUCAGUGCCACAGCUGUCGGGUGUGUUGAAGCGAUGGCGGUGCUCGCGUGGGCGGACAAAGAGAGGGGUGAGAGGUGCAUCAGGCAACGGAGAAGAGAUUGAUCCGUAGGGGAAACCCCUCACAAU
rnacentral:misc_RNA from 1 species